GACGAACGCUGGCGGCGUGCUUAACACAUGCAAGUCGAACGGUGAAGCGCCUUCCUUUUUGGUGGGUGUGGAUGAGUGGCGAACGGGUGAGUAACACGUGAGUAACCUGCCCCCUUCUUCUGGAUAACCGCAUGAAAGUGUGGCUAAUACGGGAUAUUCUGGGUCUGUCGCAUGAUGGGUCUGGGAAAGAUAUUGUUUCGGUGGGGGAUGGGCUCGCGGCCUAUCAGCUUGUUGGUGGGGUGAUGGCCUACCAAGGCUGUGACGGGUAGCCGGCCUGAGAGGGUGGACGGUCACACUGGGACUGAGACACGGGCCAGACUGCUACGGGAGGCAGCAGUGGGGAAUAUUGCACAAUGGGCGCAAGCCUGAUGCAGCGACGCCGCGUGAGGGAUGGAGGCCUUCGGGUUGUGAACCUCUUUCGCCAGUGAAGCAGGCCUGCCUCGUUUGUGGGUGGGUUGACGGUAGCUGGAUAAGAAGCGCCGGCUAACUACGU
rnacentral:rRNA from 1 species